UUAAAAACUGAGCAUAUGCUUUGGGUCAGAAAGUGGUCAUGUAGAGAGGAGAGGCCCAGCUGUAUGCUAAGAAGUUGUCAGCGGGAAAUGCAGGUGGCAUGGUGCUGUCCAGUGCAUGCUGUGGAAAAGGACUGCACAGGAUACUCCCUGGGGACAGAGGAAAGGUUCCCACCCUAGGGCCCUUGAGGAACAGAGGGAGAAUUCAGGAUGAGUGUGCCAGAUGGGUUGACGGGUAUGGGCGUUCUAGGAGGAGUCACCACAAGUGCAAAGGACUGGAGGUCAGAAGCAGCAUCAUGGAUUCAGGAAACACCAGCAGCCUCUAUUGAUGGAGCACAAAGGGCAAGGGAGUGGGGAUGAUGCGUGAGGGUGCAGAGGGCCAGGUUAAGGAACUUGGAAAGUGGAAAGUGGACCUUUUCCUUUUCCUAAGGAAAGUGGAAAGCUGUUGCCCUGAACUUAUUUGUGUUGCGGAUAAUUCUGCAUCUUGCUGUGCUGGGCACUUUGAAUUUUGGGCCUCAUGCACAUCCCACUUAACCAAACUUCCUUUUGGCCGAAUUGGGGUGCUCAUCCCUAUUUACUUGCUUGAAUAAUAAGACAUUUCUAAAACACCUCUAUGGACUCAGGAAAACACUUCAAAAUAAGCAAAUACGCUAUUUGUUCCAUGCUGUGCUGUCCUUACCCCUCUGGUUUUCUCUCCCCCAGGUGUGUGAGGAGGUGCCUACUGUGCUGUUUUCCAGCCCCACCCCCAGUGGGGUCAUCUCCCCAAGCAGCACCAUCCACAUACCACUGGUCCUGGAGACCCAGGUCACUGGAGAACACAGAUCCACGGUUUACAUCUCAAUCUUUGGGAGCCAGGACCCCCCUUUGGUAUGUCACUUAAAGAGCGCUGGAGAAGGCCCAGUUAUCUACGUCCAUCCCAAUCAAGUGGACUUCGGGAAUAUCUACGUCCUAAAAGACUCUUCCAGGAUUCUCAACCUAUGCAACCAGUCCUUCAUUCCCGCAUUUUUCCAGGCACACAUGGCACACAAAAAAUCCCUUUGGACGAUUGAACCCAAUGAAGGCAUGGUUCCUCCAGAAACUGAUGUUCAACUGGCACUGACCGCCAACCUGAAUGACACACUGACAUUCAAAGACUGUGUUAUUUUGGACAUUGAAAAUAGCAGUACCUAUCGGAUUCCUGUUCAGGCUUCCGGAACUGGUUCCACUAUUGUUUCAGAUAAGCCCUUUGCUCCAGAACUCAAUUUGGGGGCACAUUUUAGGUAAGGAAAUCUCAUGGACCAAUUUUUAUAGAUAUCACAUAUGUUACAUAUGCUGAGCAUCACCUCUACUUUAGAAAAUUAUUUUAAGUAAUUAAAACUAGCCACCUCAGUCCCUCUCCUUUCCCAUCCUCACUCUUCCACCUCCUGAUGUGUAUGUCAGCAACAAGAAGACAUUUUCUAGCCAUAACUUGGUUGCAUUCUCUAAUCCGUGUCCCUCUACAUGCGAGAAGAAUAUGGUUUGUAGGAAAUGCAUUCUUUUCUC
rnacentral:sRNA from 1 species